AACCUCCGCAAUGUGAGAAAUCGCGACGGGGGGAUCCCAAGUGCCAUUCUUAACGGGAUGGCUUUUCAUUAGUGUAAAAAGCUUUUGGAAUAAGAGCUGGGCAAGACCGGUGCCAGCCGCCGCGGUAACACCGGCAGCUCUAGUGGUAGCAAUUUUUAUUGGGCCUAAAGCGUCCGUAGCCGGUUUAAUAAGUCUCUGGUGAAAUCCUGUAGCUUAACUGUGGGAAUUGCUGGAGAUACUAUUAGACUUGAGACCGGGAGAGGUUAGAGGUACUCCCAGGGUAGAGGUGAAAUUCUGUAAUCCUGGGAGGACCGCCUGUUGCGAAGGCGUCUAACUGGAACGGUUCUGACGGUGAGGGACGAAAGUUAGGGGCGCGAACCGGAUUAGAUACCCGGGUAGUCCUAACUGUAAACGAUGCGGACUUGGGGUUGGGGUGGCUUUGAGCUGCUCCAGUGCCGAAGGGAAGCUGUUAAGUCCGCCGCCUGGGAAGUACGGUCGCAAGACUGAAACUUAAAGGAAGU
rnacentral:rRNA from 1 species